AAGACUAUACUUCACAGGAUCAUUUCUGUAGUCAGUCUUCACUUACUUUCACAUUGAAAGAAAGCCACAUACACCCGCGUUGAUGAGUUGGAUCGUUCUAUUCGGCAGCGUGAGGUAUUUCGCAGUGCCCUCUUUGGGGGCGCAGCGUUUCGAUGAUCGCUCGGUAAAACGAGUAGAACGAAUUCUGAGUGGU
rnacentral:snoRNA from 13 species